rnacentral:rRNA from 1 species
UGGCGGAAUGCUUUACACAUGCAAGUCGAGCGGCAGCGCGGGGCAACCUGGCGGCGAGCGGCGAACGGGUGAGUAAUGCAUCGGAACAUGUCCAUUCGUGGGGGAUAGCCCGGCGAAAGCCGGAUUAAUACCGCAUACGCCCUGAGGGGGAAAGCGGGGGACUCGCAAGAGCCUCGCGCGAAUGGGUUGGCCGAUGUCCGAUUAGCUAGUUGGUGGGGUAAAGGCUUACCAAGGCGAUGAUCGGUAGCUGGUCUGAGAGGGUGAUCAGCCACACUGGGACUGAGACACGGCCCAGACUCCUACGGGAGGCAGCAGUGGGGAAUUUUGGACAAUGGGGGCAACCCUGAUCCAGCCAUUCCGCGUGAGUGAAGAAGGCCUUCGGGUUGUAAAGCUCUUUUGUCCGGAACGAAACGGGUCGCGUGAAUAUCGCGGCCUACUGACGGUACCGGAAGAAUAAGCACCGGCUAACUACGUGCCAGCAGCCGCGGUAAUACGUAGGGUGCGAGCGUUAAUCGGAAUUACUGGGCGUAAAGCGUGCGCAGGCGGUUUUGUAAGCCAGAUGUGAAAUCCCCGGGCUUAACCUGGGAAUGGCAUUUGGGACUGCAAGGCUUGAGUGCGGCAGAGGAGACUGGAAUUCCUGGUGUAGCAGUGGAAUGCGUAGAUAUCAGGAGGAACACCGAUGGCGAAGGCGGGUUGCUGGGCUGACACUGACGCUGAGGCGCGAAAGCUAG